GACGAACGCUGGCGGCGUGCUUAACACAUGCAAGUCGAACGGAAAGGCCCUGCUUUUGUGGGGUGCUCGAGUGGCGAACGGGUGAGUAACACGUGAGUAACCUGCCCUUGACUUUGGGAUAACUUCAGGAAAAUGGGGCUAAUACCGGAUAGGAGCUCCUGCUGCAUGGUGGGGGUUGGAAAGUUUCGGCGGUUGGGGAUGGACUCGCGGCUUAUCAGCUUGUUGGUGGGGUAGUGGCUUACCGAGGCUUUGACGGGUAGCCGGCCUGGGAGGGUGACCGGGCACAGUGGGACUGAGAUACGGGCCAGACUGCUACGGGAGGCAGCAGUGGGAAACAUUGCACAAUGGGCGGAAGCCUGAUGCAGCAACGUCGCGUGCGGGAUGACGGCCGUCGGGUUGUAAACCGCUUUCGCCUGUGACGAAGCGUGAGUGACGGUAAUGGGUAAAGAAGCACCGGCUAACUACGUG
rnacentral:rRNA from 1 species